UGGAGAAAGACUUGUUGAAAUUGGGUCCAAAAUAUGCUAAGAACUCGGAAACAUUGCGUUGAAGCACUAAAUGACUUAUCUAGUGUUGUUUAGGGUUAGAAUAUGAUAGAAUACAAUAAAUUUGAUUGAUUACAAGUGCUAGAGAUUCAUGAAGAGUGUUUAGAAGUGUGGAGAAGACUUGUUGAAAUUGGUUCCCAAAUAGGCUAAGAACUUGGAAACAUUGCGUUGAACCACGAAAUGACUUAUCUAGUGUUGUUUCUGGUUAUAAUAUGUUAGGAUAUAAUAAAUUUGAUUGAUUACAAAUGCUAGAGAUGCAUGAAGAGUGUUUAGAAG
rnacentral:lncRNA from 1 species